GACGAACGCUGGCGGCGUGCUUAACACAUGCAAGUCGAACGGAAAGGCCUGCUUUCCCUUGUGGAUUGCGGGUACUCGAGUGGCGAACGGGUGAGUAACACGUGAGUGAUCUGCCCCCAACUUGGGUAUAAGCCUGGGAAACUGGGUCUAAUUCCCGAUAGGACUGCAGGGUGGUGCCUGUGGUGGAAAACGAUUUUCUAGUGGUUGGGGAUGAGCUCGCGGCCUAUCAGCUUGUUGGUGGGGUAAUGGCCUACCAAGGCGGCGACGGGUAGCCGGCCUGAGAGGGUGGACGGCCCCAUUGGGACUGAGAUACGGCCCAGACUCCUACGGGAGGCAGCAGUGGGGAAUAUUGCACGAUGGGCGGAAGCCUGAUGCAGCGACGCCGCGUGGGGGAUGACGGCCUUCGGGUUGUAAACUCCUUUCGACCGCGAGGAAGCCACCUGGUUGGAAGGGUGGUGACGGUAGUGGUAGAAGAAGCACCGGCUAACUACGUG
rnacentral:rRNA from 1 species